ACUCAAAGGAAUUGACGGGGGCCCGCACAAGCGGUGGAGCAUGUGGUUCAAUUCGACGCAACGCGAAGAACCUUACCUGGGCUCGAACGGCUUUGGAUCAUCUUUGGAAACAGAGACUUCUCGCAAGAGACCGGAGUCGAGGUGCUGCAUGGCUGUCGUCAGCUCGUGUCGUGAGAUGUUGGGUUAAGUCCCGCAACGAGCGCAACCCUUGUCCUGUGUUGCCACUCCCGUAAGGGAAGCACUCUCAGGAGACCGCCAGCGAUAAGUUGGAGGAAGGUGGGGAUGAUGUCAAGUCAUCAUGGCCUUUAUGUCCAGGGCUACACACGUGCUACAAUGGACGGUACAAAGCGCUGCAAACCCGCGAGGGGGAGCCAAUCGCAAAAAACCGUUCUCAGUUCGGAUCGCAGGCUGCAACUCGCCUGCGUGAAGCUGGAAUCGCUAGUAAUGGCGUAUCAGAACGAUGCCGUGAAUACGUUCCCGGGCCUUGUACACACCGCCCGU
rnacentral:rRNA from 1 species